UACGUAGGGUGCAAGCGUUGUCCGGAAUUAUUGGGCGUAAAGAGCUUGUAGGCGGUUUGUCGCGUCUGCUGUGAAAUUUCGGGGCUCAACCCCGAACUUGCAGUGGGUACGGGCAGACUAGAGUGUGGUAGGGGAGACUGGAAUUCCUGGUGUAGCGGUGAAAUGCGUAGAUAUCAAGAGGAACACCUGAGGUGAAGACGGGUUGCUGGGCCGACACUGACGCUGAGUGCGCGAAAGCCAGGGGAGCAAACGGG
rnacentral:rRNA from 1 species